rnacentral:rRNA from 1 species
UACAGAGGUGGCAAGCGUUGUUCGGAAUUACUGGGCGUAAAGGGCGCGUAGGCGGCCUUCUAAGUCAGACGUGAAAUCCCCCGGCUUAACCUGGGGACUGCGUCUGAUACUGGGAGGCUUGAGUAUGGGAGAGGGAUGUAGAAUUCCAGGUGUAGCGGUGAAAUGCGUAGAUAUCUGGAGGAAUACCGGUGGCGAAGGCGGCAUCCUGGACCAUAACUGACGCUGAGGCGCGAAAGCUAGGGGAGCAAACGGG